GCCGCGUGAGGGAUGACGGCCUUCGGGUUGUAAACCUCUUUCAGUAGGGAAGAAGCGUAAGUGACGGUACUGCAGAAGAAGCGCCGGCUAACUACGUGCCAGCAGCCGCGGUAAUACGUAGGGCGCAAGCGUUAUCCGGAUUAUUGGGCGUAAAGAGCUCGUAGGCGGUUUGUCGCGUCUGCCGUGAAAGUCCGGGGCUCAACUCCGGAUCUGCGGUGGGUACGGGCAGACUAGAGUGAUGUAGGGGAGACUGGAAUUCCUGGUGUAGCGGUGAAAUGCGCAGAUAUCAGGAGGAACACCGAUGGCGAAGGCAGGUCUCUGGGCAUUAACUGACGCUGAGGAGCGAAAGCAUGGGGAGCGAACAGGAUUAGAUACCCUGGUAGUCCAUGCCGUAAACGUUGGGCACUAGGUGUGGGGGACAUUCCACGUUUUCCGCGCCGUAGCUAACGCAUUAAGUGCCCCGCCUGGGGAGUACGGCCGCAAGGCUAAAACUCAAAGGAAUUGACGG
rnacentral:rRNA from 1 species